GGGUAGGUGGCAGAGCGGUCAAUUGCAGCGGGCUGUAAACCCGCCGCCGAAAGGCUACGAAGGUUCGAAUCCUUCCCUGCCCA
rnacentral:tRNA from 1 species